AGCAUUCUCCGCAUGAACCUGAAAACAAUAAUGCAUGAUUGAGGGUAAAGAUCGUAUCGUAUUGUUGUACGGGCAACCUCCACCACUAGUCGGAAGAUCUAAUGUGAUCGCUCAUGCCCCUCCAGCUAUACCAUACACACUUUGGAGUGCGCCAAACACAUGAUUUAUGACUACACAGAUCGCUUCGCAUAAAAUAUGAUAGCAUCUGACACUCCUCCCUCCGCAGAAACUGCAUGAAGUGGUGCAGGUGGCACGUGAGGGAAUUGUAAUCGGAGGAGAAGCCGGUGAGUAAACCUUGUCAACCUAAAUUGGUUCGUAAAAAAUUAUCCCGCGGCGAUAUAACAUAUAGAAUGCUAGGGAAACACGGUAGCUGAACAGAAACGAAUAUUAAAAGGAAAUAAUGAUAAUUUCAAAUCAUAAAUUUAACGGGGAAACAUUAAUUUUCAUUUAAAACAAGGCAAAGCAUUAAAUGGAAGAAACGUCUUGCAACGGCAACUGAGAAAGCAAAGAGUAAUUACUGGAAACUUGUCCACAUUCGCAUAAUAAUAAUAACAACGAAACAUACUAGAAAGGAGGAAACCUGGUGGAAAUCGUUGUCGUUGCUUGUUUUUUUUUUUUUUUUUCUUUUCUUUUAAUAUUUUUUUCUCACAAUCGUAGCACUUGUAAAACAUUUAACUAAACAUGGAAAUAAUGGCUAACGCAAGUAAUCACAAUCAAAAUCAUCAACAUCAGCAGCAACAAGAACUAGGUUUGUUGGUUGCUAUACCAAAACGACAACAGCUACAACAACAAGAGCAUUAUAGUCAUCAUUAUAACAGUGAAGCUACUGGUAGUAAAGCUGUUGUACCUGGUUCACAUCUACCAUUUCAACGUGAGGUGCGUGAAUGGCAACGCAUAGAUCCGGAUACAGGUGCAUUGCAUUCAGGCCGUUUAGAAGCUGAUCGCUGGAUAAAUGGUCCCUUAAAUAGUUAUGGCAAAAUAUCUGAUUCGAAAAAUAUUUCACAACCGAAUGGCACCCAACAUAUUCAACGAAAACAAUUAGAAGUCUUACAGGCCUGUACAGAGCAUGGAACCAUGCAAGUAAUACGCGCACAAACGGUACAAGCCACCUCAUCGCGUUGGUCAAUAUCAUCAGCAUCACCCGUAUUAGCUUUAUCACCAACUUCAUCAAUUACAGCAACAAGCACAAAAACAACAACAACAACAACAACACCACCACAAUUACAGAAAACAGUCAAACAAUACUUAAAAAACAAAAACAACAGCAAUAAAAAACCGGUACACAAUCACAGUAGCACAACAUCAUCAAAUGCCAUCAUCAUCACUACGUCUUGCUCCUCCAAUUCCUCAGCAUCGUCUUCCAUUUCUUCUUCACCGUUAACUAAUGGUUACUAUCGCGAUCAUCGUAAUGAACGUGAAGAUUAUCUGCCCACUGCUAUUGAUAAACAUUGGCCACAACAAUUAACGGAUAAAAUGUCCAACCUGCAUAUGGACAACGAACAGCAACAGCAUCGUCAUUAUAAUCAUGAUGAUUAUCAUUGCAAUGGUGAUGUUAGCGACCAUGACAAUGAUAUGUUGCUAUUAGACGCUGAUAAUCCAUAUUUGGUUAGUAAUGACCAUAAACAAAACAAGAUCAAUACACCAGUUUACCAUCGCCAAUCUAACAACAAGUUUAUGGAUAAUAAUUGCGUUGAUAGUAAAACUAGUCUGAUGAUGACAAAAAAACGUCAUCAUACAAAUGCGUUGCAUUGCAACGGGGAUAGUGGUAGUAAUUGUUUUAAGACCGACAAUAGCAACGAUGGUGAUAAUAAUGGCGGUGGUAAUAAUCAAUUUCGUUUAGAUACGGCGCCAAGUUUAAAGUUAAGUAAUUUAAUGAAAAGCAGUUCGACAUUAUCAACAACGGGUUCAACGGGGCAAACUUUGUACGUUAGUACUGUGUCUUCGAAACCAGCAUCAAUGAACACCUACAAAAGUGGGGUAAAUAAAAUAAGCCUACAUGCAAUUGUUGGCAAUGGUAGCGGCAGCGGCAGCAUUAACAAGUUGUCUACACUUCAGCAGCAACAGCAUCAGCAUCAGCCUACUUUAUUUAGUCAAAACGACAAUAUCAGCAUUAUUAAGAACAGCAACAAUAACGAUAACAACAACAACAACAACAACAAUAGUAAUCAAAGUCAUUUACUUAAAACACGCGUAGGUGCCAACAUUAAUUGUAAUUUUGAUGGUGGUGAUGAAUAUCAGACGUCUGCGAAGGCAACAAAAAUGACAACAGCCACAGCCGCUACACCAUCACCAACUGUGACAGUCACUUUAGAAACUCGUCAUCAUCAGCAUCAUCAUAACGAUCGCUUGACGCCAACGCAAUCAAUAGGUGUUCAUACACAACAGAAACGUGAUGAGGAAAAUUUCCGGCAUUAUGUUAACAGUGACGUUCCAUUUAAUGAACAAGAUGCUAAUGAUUUACGGCUCUCCACGAGACAGCUAAGACGUCAACAGAUUCCUCUUAACACCUCUCUGCAAAGAUCGUAUUCUAUCUCAACUGACGAUCUCAGCAGUGAGUGGAAUGUCGACGGGCAUGCAGAAGAAAUUGGUAAGGAAGAACCGGCUGAGUGGCGUCGCGUUAGCAAGCUCAGGCGUUCUUUCCAAUCGUCCAAUAAAACAAAUGAAAGUUUAAAAUCUCCGGCACCGCUACGUAAGCCGCUUGAUUUGCCAGAAAAUUCCGUUAGCGUAUCUAAAAUUAAGGCCGAUUUGGAAAAUGGACGUAGACUUAGUACUGUCAUGCGUAACAAUCGUGUGGACUUAACAGCUUUGAAUACGUUGCUUCAGUCAGAUGAAAUAAAUGGAAGAGAAGAUCACAAAACUCAUUUAACCAAAAAGAAUUCUUUCCUAACAGCUGAGUCACUCAAAGAGAUACGUAAUAAAUUGAAAAAAUUAUCCGAUGAAUCAUUAUAUAAAGAAGAUUUCAAAAUUCAUCAAUCUCAACAACAGCCGACAAAUGAGGAAGCUUUUAACGAAGAAUUAACUGAACGCUUCAAACCGGUCGGUGAUAAGAAACAAGCAAAUCUCACUUUUGUUAAUGUCACUGGAAAACAUGCUAGCAACAGCUUAGAGUCCCGAUUAAAAUAUAAAGAUCCAAACUCUACUGAGUGGCACCUAAGACGCAAAUCCUACGGCUUUGAGAAAAUGUCACCGCCCGAGUAUAAAGCAAUGUUCUGCAUGGAUGAUUCUACCGAUAGCGGUUUAGGUAGAUCCGGAGAAUUGGGUAAUUGGUCGCCUAUAUCCGACACAAGCUGUAAAACUAAUAGCCGCAAUAGUACGAUUAUACACCUUGAAGAAACGGCAAAAUCAAAAAAAGAUUCACAUUUGUUGAGAGGCUACCUAACUCAAAAGCUCGUCGAAAAAGAACGAGAAAUAUCUCCUGUAGACAAACAGUAUGAUAUGAAACGACAUUCCAUAGCAAUAGAUGACAUCCACUACGAUUUAGAAAAUCCACGGCAAACAACUCAAAUACAUUUAAACGGUGUGUACGAGGACAGCAACGAUUCGUUGCAUACCACAUCCCAAAAAAGCCAACAAAAACGUGUAGAGUUUUGCAAGACAGAAGUGCAUUUCGCCACUGAAUCGGGCCGUGUGAAUAUAGUGGAAACUGAUAGUAAGCCGCCACCCACUAAUAAUUUUCGUCGAAGACGCCGCAGCUCAAGUGUUGGCCCCCUACAAAGUUUAGUAAAAUCGGUGUCUGCAGUCCAUACGUCAGCUUCUCCAAUCACUACAACAACAGCAACCGUAGCGGUUCCCAUUACUAUAUUUGGCGAGUCAAGCCUAAAGCGUGCAACCAUAAAUACCGCACCAAUCGCUCAAAGGAUUUGCUUGGAACCUUCCCCUGAGCCAAAGACAGACUCGGCGAUUAACGUUACCAUUACCGUACCAUCCAAAAAUGAUUUACUUCCUAACUAUGCGUCCACCAGCGGAGUCGAUUCAACUGACUGUGAUACCGAUGAAUUUAUUUCUCUACGAGGUAUUUUAAAAAAUAAGCCAAUAAAACCGAAACCCUAUGUCUUAGGAGAGAAUAUUGAAAAUUCCAAAGCUUUGUGGAGCACGUACAAAAAAUUAGAAACAGUUGAUGACGAUUCUAAGUCGUGCUCCCCUCCCCCUUUUUUACUGGCAUCUCAAAGGACUGUGGCUGAAAGAAUCCGCUUGGUGGAACAACAACAGCAACAACAAGAUACGGGUCCUAAAUGUUCUUCUCCUACUAGCAACUUCUCAACUAAAAUCAAUGUCAAUUUGGGAGACCGCUCUACAUCUUGGCAAGAAGCUGGUUCCGACAUAGGAGAUAUUCCAACGAGACCAACGGCCCAGGCAUUGUUGCUACAGGAUCUCAAAGAGAAUCAACGUAUUUUAGAUGAAGGCCUGAAAUCGACAAAUUUGAUCAUAAAAACCUUACGUUCGGCUAAUGAAUUUGAUGAGGCCAUGAGGCGACUGUAUUCCACUGAUGUGGAAUCAAAUUAUACCACGCCUGUUGUAGUGCCAACGCCCAUGUUUAGAUCUCACAAUCUACAAGAAUCCCUUAAAUGCAAUUCCUUAGGUAGCACUGGGCUAGAAUAUACCAAGGCUUACAAUUGUGUUACCUUGAGGUCAGAUUCUAUUACUUCAAUGAGAAAAGAGAUUUCAGAUUCUGCAACCAGAAAGAAUGCAACAGAACAUCAUAGUUUGAUGGGCAAUGAGCAGGGGGAUAGCCAACAGCUGCAAAGAUUAAGAAUGAUAUACGAUGCUACUCUAACACAAGGCGAGGACAGCGCCGACGAAGAAGUAAAAGGUUAUUUUAAAGAUUUCAUCGACAUUGCGUAUGACGACAACAGUGCCACUCAAAAGCCUUCACUUGUGGGAGACAACAACUACCAACCCUACUCAAACGACUUAAAGGUUGCGAAAACCGUAUGGAGAAUCAAUACCAAAAAUCAUAUUACGACAAAAGAAGCACGAGAACAAUCAGAUUUACCGCUUUCUAACGUGGUAAGUAUCAAAUUUCACUCGCCUCAAAUGAAAAAGGAAAUUGAUUCAACAAAUACUGGGCCAAUCAAAACAUCAGAAGCGCUACCACCUAAUUUAUCUAACACUCACGAGAGUACGGCAACACUUAAACAAUCCCCUCGACAAAGUAUUGCUAUUGCCAAAGAGGCUUUAAAGAUUGUGAAGGAAGCUAGAGGAGCUCGGCAAUUGCGCGAACAUGAGUUGUCCUAUUUCGGUGUUUCGAAGGACAAAAAUAAUGUGCAGCCCCUAAAAACUAAACUAUAUUCUACACCUAGCCCAUCUGUUUCAACGAAGCGUACCUUACCAUCACGACGACUUAGCGAAGGGAAUCCGUUAAUAAACAAAGAAUGGCCAAACAAAGAUAACAAACCUGACUUGCUCAAGCAUAGUGAAAUACAAAUGCGAGAAAUUACGAAAGAGCCGAAAGCAAGUGAACGAUCAAGUUUACUUACAACGAAGAAUGACUUGAAUUCCGACGAAGAGCAUUUAUACGAAAACAUAGCGAACGAUAUUACUCCAACAUUUAAAGUGCAAUCGCCCUCGCUUUCACGAGCCUAUGAUCGGAAAGCAGAUCUUCAAAGAGAUGCUAUGAUUUUAAAGGAAAUGAACACCAAUGCUGAUCAAACUUUGAAAGAUCUUUCUGACGAGACAAUUUUAAGAGAUCGCCGACGCCGUUCUAUGCAGCGUCGUAAUUCCAAGCCAUUGGAAACUAUAGAGGAAAAAUCCGCACCUGAGAAAUCUGUUGAAUCUCCGGCAAUGGUAGUGAAAGUGGAUCGCGCCACUUAUUCUUCUGAAGCGAAGCGUAUCGCUCGACGUUCUACAGCCUCCCCGUCUUCAGCAAAACAACGAGAAAGAACGUCUUCGCAGUCGUCAGUAGAAUGCUGCCCUAGGGCUCGUUCACGUUCUUUAUCUAGCGAAAAAGAAUUUGAAACGCUUAAAAUGAAACAAGCGCCUAACUCUGCCGCGGUUAAGCAUAAAUCAUAUAAAACCGCAAACGCUCGUUCCUAUUCGCGGGAGUCCCAAAAUUCAUCGCAUUCGCAAUGCUCAUCGACUGACGAACAGCUUUUUGAUAGUUUUAGGCGCGAAGAACGUUCGCGAGCUAAAACUAAACGCCAUACCACUAGCAGCACAAAAGCUCUGAAACAAACUACCAUUCAGUCUAAUCAAAAAGAAGAUGCAAAACGUUUAUCCAGCACUGCUCGUUCUUCUACCCAUAGAGAACGCGUUAGGUGCAAAAUGGAAACGGUUGCAAAGCCAUCUCAACAUCAAAAUCAAACGAACCCGUCUUUAUUCCGCUCAACAAAUUCAUCGGGAGAAAGUGGUCGCAGACAACGAGAUGAAUUAAAAGAUUUACAACAAAGUGUAAAAUAUUGUGACACCACUGCCGCGAACAUUUCCGCCAACAAUAAUAAACAUUCUUCAAAAUAUGAUGACAAAAAGAAGGCAACAUCUCAAGAAAUUUCUUCUUUUAAAAAUGUGGAACAAAAUAACGAAAGCGAAGAGAAGCACAUUAAACCGAAAGCUCACUCCAGUCGCUCUACCUCGAAGCAACGCCGCCACCAACACCCUGAAGCUCAACUAAAAGCAAUAACCCGAGAAAGAGAGCAAUUAAAGUCUAGGACAACGAAAGCAUCAACGGCGGCAAUAAACGAAAACACGACGUACGUAAGCGUUUCGAAUUUAAGACAAGUACAAACUGCACUUUGCACAAGCGACACCAAUGUGAAUAAUGAAAUUAUGCAAACAGCAGCUGUUAUAGCCGACACCAACAUCUAUGAAAAAAGCGAAAACUUCGAAGCAAUCGAUCAAUCUAUAAAACAGUCCUUACAAUCCCAAAUCCCAAUUAAACCACCACGUAAGAAACGUUACAAAAAGUCCUUAAUUCCUAUAGCCAUACCUACUAAACCAGAACGUCUUCCUCCCCUAUCUCCAUCGCAAAAGUUACAAAUCGAAAAAAUACCUUCUCCGCCUUCUUACGAAUAUCAAGUUAAAACUCAAAUUAUACCUCCUAGCUAUUCUAAUCAAAGUACAUUGAAAAAAAGUUCUCUACCGAGGCCAACAAGCCGCUUAUCUUUUUUAACCAAGGCUAGAAAAUCAUCACAUAAAUAUGCCCAUUCCACGUCGUCCUCUUUUGCAUUUCUACCUUAUCUUCCAGCCAAAAGAAAUUCGGAUGUCAGUCAUAUCUAUGACAAUUACAUGUUAUAUGCAGUGCCUGCGUCUAUAAAUGCCAAAGCUUAUAAACAAAAUCUGGUCAACGAUCAUGCCCAUUUAUUCGGCGGUACCGGUCAUCGAUAUUAUAACGAUGGAGGAAAAGGAUUGCGUAGACGUACCGUACGCAGCACGGUGUCCACCCAUCAACCAUUUGGCAUUUGCACAUGUUCAUAGUCUCCGACAUUAAUCAUCAAAUAAAUGCUAGGUGUUUUCCAGAGAUUCGCAUCAAAAAAAAAAAAAAUAAAAAAUAAAUAAAUAAAAAACAAAAACUACACGCUUUCGUUUAGCCAAAACAGCAAGCUAUCUCCACCUGAAAUACUAAAAAGCAAAAAACCAAAAAAAAAAAAAAACACCGAUAAACAUCAUCACACUUCCAUGCACAUAUCAGUCUAUGCACUCUAUUUUGACAAACACCUUAACACCCCCACCUGAUAUCGCUUUUAUACGAACGUUAAACGAAUAAUUCAGAAAUUUUUAUCUAAUUCAUCCGAACUCUUUACAUACUUUUUAGCAACUCAUGAAAAACAAAUAUAAAUUAUGGAUUUAUUUUUACUUUUUCACAAUAUAUAGUAAAAAUGCCAGCGUAACUUUAAAUGGUUCGCAAGCACCGAAUCACGAUUACCUUCAUCACCAUCAUCAUCAUCGUCAUGAUC